rnacentral:tRNA from 1 species
CAGAAAAUAGUUUAUAUAAAAUUUUAGUUUUGGAUACUAAUGAAGAGGAAUUCUUUUUUCUGA